UAUCCCUUCACUCUCUUCAAAUCCUCCUCUAAUUUGAGAAAAUUUUCACAUGUCUUUAGAUGAAGAAAAACCCAAUUUUGAAGAAUACCCAUUUUAAUGAUUCAUUAUCUGUUGAUUUUGCAGGUUUGGUUAAUACACAUGCAGAUUGGAUUUCCCUCCAAAGGGAUAAGAUUAUUUCAAGAGGUAAAAAGUAAUUUCGAAAUUCACUUUCAGAUUCUCCCGCCUUGAAAUUCAAUCGAUUUAUUCAUUUUAUAAUUGAAAUAGGGUUAGAUGGUGAAUCUAUUUAAGCAGUUAUUGAGUUUAUUGUCUCAGCCACACCAAACAAAUUCAAAACAUUCUUUCCUCGCCUGUUGUUUCAAUUUCGUUUUUUCAAUCACUAUUUAAUUUUUGAAAACAAAAAAAAAACUGAUUUUAGUUGAAAAUGGCUUUCAUGAUUGGUAAUGGUGAGCAUUUUUCUGAAAUUGAAAAAAUUGAUUCUGAGAGAACAAGUUGAAAUUUAAAGGCAAAAAUUUUAAGGGUUUCUAGAUCAAUUCUAUUUUGUUUUAUUUUAUUUCCUUCAAUUUGAUGUUGCUUCUUUAAGUAUUUAUUGCUCAAUUCUGAUUUAAUUUUAUUUUUGGAAUGUUUUAAUGUUUGUUCAGGUUUACAAAUUAGGGUAGUUUUAUUGCAGAAUUAAUCAGAGAGAAUACUAUGCAUAUAGCAAUACUAUGCCUCUUGAUUGUAAGUACUGUUUAUGUUCUUACUUUCAGUUUUUCUGUUCUUCAAUUGGUUGUGGUUAUUAGAGGGAAAAGUUAGUUACACUAUAGAUAAUUGUUUUGAUUGGCUAUAUAAGUUUGUGUUUGGUAAGAAUCAAUACUAUCUUAAUCCAAAGCUAAAAAUCCCCUGAUUAUUUUUAUUGGAGCAUUUCAUUUGAAGGUUUUUCUCUUUGAUAAGAAUUUUUAUAUAGAUAAAAUGUUGUUUCAAUCCCUAAUGCUACUGUGGCAUGCGGGUUUAGUCAAAGAUUAUGAUUCAACUUCAUUUUUUUUAGUUUGCAUAUAUAUUCUGAUCCCAAAUGCUACUGUGAUCUGUUAAUUUCUUUAAUUUGUUUUGUUUUUAUAUCAUAUCUGCAAAUUUCUUGCAUGUUCUCCUCCUAAUUGUGUGUUUCUAUUUUGAGUAAGUGGUUUUAUGUGUUGUGUAUCAUGGUUUGUUUUAGUUUGUGACUUUUGGUCCCUUGGUUUGCAGGUAAUUUUAUUUACAAGUGAAAUCAUUUGAGUGAGUUGUGCUUUACAGGUAGUGUACAUCUUCAGGGUAAGUUGUUUUUUAUUAGAAAAUGGAGGACAAAUUUUGUGGUUUUGAAUCAGGUUAUAGUUGGUAUUUUUUCUAUUUAAUUUUAGUUUUACAUGUUAAAUCAAAUUGAGUAUGUACAAUUUAUUCUAUUUUUUUUUAAUCUUCAUAAGCACAAUGAUUUAUAUGCAUAUGACUACAUUAGGUAAAUAUAUUGUUCCAUAAAUGAAACUUUUUUCUAUUUACCUCUUUCAUCCGUGACUCAUAAAUGUUGGACUACCUGAAUGUCUACGUGAAAAGUUUUUCCUUAUCAAUUUAGAUUAGCAUAUUUUUCUAUUUGCCUCUUUCUAUUUUUUUAAAAAUAUUGUUGUUUAGUUGUCAUAUUUAUUAGGAUUUGUUUCUACCUUUUAGCUAAUAAUCCCUACUUUUUAGGAGUUUUUAGUGGGAUUUUUUUCUCCACUGCAAUAAUAUGAUUGAUUUUGUUGAAUUUCAGAUUUUUUUUAGAUUUGUAUCAAUUUUAAUUUGUUUUAUUUGGUAUUUGUAAACUUUAAUUGAGGAGAAAAUCAAACUGAUAUACUAUUACUUUUAAUAAGAUUUUUUAUUUCAAAAUUUUAAUUUCAGAUUCAAUCUAUAAACUUUUUUAUAAGUAAUAAGUUAGUUUCAUUGAAUGUGUUUUGCAAAUUUUGAAAUUCAAUAUAACAGAAAAAAGAAAAAAAAAUUAAAAAAAAAGAAAAAGGAAAGAAUCUUUAUCUUCCCUUUCUGCUUUGUUGAUGUCUUCUUUCUCUCCAUCUUCAACAAAAACUUCCAUUUUGGUGAAAAACUAAGUGUUCUCUGCAAACUUUGACUAAUGCAUCAUUCUUUCAAAUUUCAAAAACCCCUCCAAAAAUUUCAAAAACAACGUUUAUCUUUAUCGUGUUUUUGAUAUGGUUUUCUAUGUUGUCAACUUUUUUCCUCAAAUUUUGGGUAUAUGCUUCUUCAGCUUUGUCAAUAAGAAAGGUUUUAACUUGCUUCUCAAUCCCUUCCUUAUUUCAUGAUUUAAUUUCAUAUUCUGAUUUUUAAUUGUUUUUGGAAAUGUUAUUGUUUGUUCAGGUUCACAAACCCAACAACGACAAUGUUAUUGUUUGAUUCUGGGUAUACUCUUUCUUUUUCAAAAUACCUAAUUUUUAAUAGCCAUCUAUUUUAUUUCAUUUGUAUUUCUA
rnacentral:lncRNA from 1 species